rnacentral:rRNA from 1 species
UGGCUGCAGCAAGGAAUCUUGCGCAAUGGGCGAAAGCCUGACGCAGCGACGCCGCGUGGGGGACGAAGACCUUCGGGUUGUAAACCCCUUUUGUGAGGGACGAAUAAUGACGGUACCUCAUGAAUAAGUCUCGGCUAACUACGUGCCAGCAGCCGCGGUAAUACGUAGGAGGCAAGCGUUAUCCGGAUUUAUUGGGCGUAAAGAGCGCGUAGGCGGCUUAACAAGUCGGAUGUGAAAUCUCCCGGCUUAACCGGGAGGGGUCAUUCGAUACUGUUAGGCUAGAGGGCAGCAGAAGGAGAUGGAAUUCCCGGUGUAGUGGUGAAAUGCGUAGAUAUCGGGAGGAACACCAGUGGCGAAGGCGGUCUUCUAGGCUGUUACUGACGCUGAGGUGCGAAAGCGUGGGGAGCGAACAGGAUUAGAUACCCUUGUAGUC